rnacentral:rRNA from 1 species
AUUGGAUGAGUUAAGUAUAAACCCCYUUACAAGUAUCAAUUGGAGGGCAAGUCUGGUGCCAGCAGCCGCGGUAAUUCCAGCUCCAAUAGCGUAUAUUAAAGUUGUUGCAGUUAAAAAGCUCGUAGUUGGAUUUCUGUUAAUAAUUUAUAUAAAAUAUUUUGAUGAAUAUUUAUAUAAUAUUAACAUAAUUCAUAUUACUAUAUAUUUUAGUAUAUGAAAUUUUACUUUGAGAAAAUUAGAGUGCUUAAAGCAGGCAUAUGCCUUGAAUACUCCAGCAUGGAAUAAUAUUAAAGAUUUUUAUCUUUCUUAUUGGUUCUAAGAUAAGAAUAAUGAUUAAUAGGGACAGUUGGGGGCAUUUGUAUUUAACAGUCAGAGGUGAAAUUCUUAGAUUUGUUAAAGACAAACUAAUGCGAAAGCAUUUGCCAAGGAUGUUUUCAUUAAUCAAGAACGAAAGUUAGGGGAUCGAAGACGAUCAGAUACCGUCGUAGUCUUAACCAUAAA